rnacentral:rRNA from 1 species
UACGUAGAGUGCAAGCGUUAAUCGGAAUUACUGGGCGUAAAGCGUGCGCAGGCGGUGAUGUAAGACAGAUGUGAAAUCCCCGGGCUCAACCUGGGAACUGCAUUUGUGACUGCAUCGCUGGAGUGCGGCAGAGGGGGAUGGAAUUCCGCGUGUAGCAGUGAAAUGCGUAGAUAUGCGGAGGAACACCGAUGGCGAAGGCAAUCCCCUGGGCCUGCACUGACGCUCAUGCACGAAAGCGUGGGGAGCAAACAAGG